rnacentral:rRNA from 1 species
UACAGAGGGGGGCAAGCGUUAUUCGGAAUUAUUGGGCGUAAAGGGCGCGUAGGCGGCUUUUCAAGUGACGGGUGAAAUCCCUCGGCUUAACCGAGGAACUGCCUGUCAGACUGGAAGGCUUGAGACCGGGAGAGGUGAGUGGAAUUCCCAGUGUAGCGGUGAAAUGCGUAGAUAUUGGGAGGAACACCAGUGGCGAAGGCGGCUCACUGGACCGGAACUGACGCUGAGGCGCGAAAGCGUGGGGAGCAAACAGGG